rnacentral:lncRNA from 1 species
CACCAUCCACUAUAUUCACUAUUAUUGGCAGGCACCAGAUGCCUGUUUUAUUAUUGAUGAUAUUAAGAGGAUUUGAACCAACAGCCAGAAGAAAAGAUAUACAAGGUGAGGUCCUGAACAAAGGAACUUCUGUCCUUUUGGAGUUUGGAACCCAGCACAGUGGCAUGUGGAGGCGUUCUGCUUCACCCACCUGGAAGCUCUCCAAAACCUUUUCCUCCUGUAUGUCUGUUUUGGUACCAGAACCACACUGUCUUGAUUACUGUAGCUUUGUAAUAUCAUCGGAAGUCUGGGAGAGUUUUGGUUCCUGCUUAGUUUUUGUUCCUCAGGAUUGCUUUAGCAAUUCUGGGUCUUUUGUUGUUUCAUAUAAAUUUUUGGAUUGUUUGUUUUAGUUCUGUGAAAAAUGUCAUGGGUAAUUUGAUAGGGAUUGCAUUUAAUCUGUAGAUCGCUUUGGGUAGUAUGGCCAUUUUAACAUGAUUAGUUUUUCAAACUCUGGAGCAUGGACUAUCUUUCUAUUUCUUUGAAUCCUCUUUAAUUUCCUUGCUUAAUGUUUUAUAGUUCUCACCAUAUAAGUCUUUUACCUGCUUGGUCAGGUUUAUUCCCAGGUAUUUAAUUUUUGGGGGGUGCAAUUUUAAAGGGUAUUGUAUUUUUGUAUUCCUUUCUUAAUAUUUCAUUGUUAGUAUACAGAAAUGCAACUGAUUUCUGAAUGUUAAUCUUGUAAUCCUGCUACUUUGCUGAAUUCAUUGAUCAGUUUGAGGAGGUUUUGUUGUGGAUGCCUUAGGGUUUUCUAUGUAUAAUCAUGUCAUUGGCAUACACUGACAAUUUUACCUCUUCUCUUGCAAUUUGGAUAUGUUUAUUUCUUUUCUUUGUCUGAUUGCUGUGGCUAGGAUUUCUGAUAUUAUGUUGAAUAACAGUGGUGAGAGUGGACAUCCUUGUCUUGUUCCAGAUUUUAGUGGAAAGUCUUUCAGCUUCUCUCCAUUGAGUAUUAUAUAUGGUGUGGGUUUGUCAUGAAUGACUUUUAUUAUGUUAAGAUAUGUUCCCUCUAUACCCACUUUGGUAAGAUUUUUUACCAUGAAUGGAUGUUGGACUUUGUCAGAUGCUUUUUCUGCAUCUAUAGAGAUGAUCAUGUGGUUUUUGACUUUUCUUUUGUUAAUGUGGUGUAUAUGUUGAUUGAUUUGCAUAUGUUGAACUUGGGAACCUGGGAUGAAUCCUACCUAGUCAUGUUGUAUGAUCUAUUUUAUAUGCUGUUGGUUUAGGUUGGCUAAAUUUUUGUUGAGAAUUUUGUAUCUAUAUUCAUCAAAAUAUCAGCCUAUAAUUUUUUUUUUGGUAGUAUCUUUGUCUGGUUUUGGAAUUAGGGUGAUGGUGGCAUCAUAGAAUAUCUUUUGGAGUGUUCCUUCGUCUUCAAACUUUUGAAAAAGUUUAAGGAGGAUGGGUAUAAGUUCUUAUUUGUAAGUUUGGGUGUAGAAUUCACCUGUGAAGCCAUCUGGUCCUGGACUUUUGUUUCUAGGGAGUGUUUUUAUUACAUAUUCAAUUUAAUUUCUAGUGAUCAGUCUGUUCAGUUUAUCUAUUUCUUAUUGAUUCAUUUUUGCCAGGCUGUAAGUCUCUAGAAAGUUGUCCAUUUAUUCUAGGUUGUCAAAUUUGUUAUUAUAUAAUUGUUAAUAUUAUUCUCUUUUUGUUGUUAUUUCUGCAAUAUCCAUUGAGAUUUCUCCCUUUUCAUUUCUUAUUUUGUUUAUUUGGGUUCUUUCUCUCUUCUUCUUAGUGAGUCUGGCCAGAGGUUUAUCAAUUUUGUUUACCUUUUCAAAGAACCAGCUGUUGGUUUUAUUGAUUUUUUUUCUAUUGUUUUUUUUUUUUGAAUCUCUAUUUUAUUGAUUUCCUGUUUGAUCUUUAUGAUUUCCUUCCUUCUGCUGACUUUAGGUUUUUUUUUGUUCUUCUUUUUCUAAUUCAUUUAGGUGUUGGUUUAAAUUGUUGAUUUGAGAUUUUUCUUCUUUUUUGAGGAAGGCCUCUAUCACUAUGAAUUUCCCUCUAAACACACUGCUUUUGUGGUAUCCUAUAGAUUUUGAAUGGUUGUAUCUUCAUUAUCAUUUGUCUUGAGGUACUUUUUAAUUUCGCUUUUGAUUUUCUCUUUGACCCAUUAGUUUUUUUAGUAGCAAGUUGUUUAGCCUCCAUGGAGUCAGUUUUUUCUCAUUUCUUUUCUUGUGGCUGAUUUCUGGUUUCAUGCCAUUGUGGUCAUUGAAAAUACUUGAAAUAAUUUCUCCACUCUUAAAUUUGUUGAGGUUAGUUUUGUGCCCCAGUAUGUGGUCAAUCCCUGAGAAUGUUCCACGUGCACUUGAGAAGAAUGUGUAUUCUGAUAUUUUGGAUGUAAUGUCCUGAAAAUGUCAAUUAAGUCUAACUUUUCUACUGAGUCAUUUAGGAUUUCUGUUGCCUUACUGAUUUUCUGUCUAGAGGAUCUGUUCAUCGAUGUGAGUAGGGUGUUAAAGUCUCCCACUAUUAUUGUAUUCCCAUCAAUUUCUCCUUUUAUGUCUGUUAGUAUUUUUUGUAUGUAUCUGGGUGCUCCUAUAUUAGGGGCAUAUAUUCAUGAUUGUAAUGUCCUCCUCCUGAAAGGAUAAUUUUAUCAUUAAAUAGUGUCCUUCUUUUUCUUUCUUUAUGGCCUUAAUUGUAAAGUCUAUUUUGUCUGAUAUGGAUAUUGUGAUUCCUGCUUUCCUGUCUUGUCUAUUCUCAUGCAAUAUCUUUUCACAUCCCCUCGCUUUCAAUCUAUAUGUGUCCUCUGCCCUAAAGUGAGUCUCUUAUAGACAGCAUAUUGAAGGCAUUUGAUUUUUUCCCCAAUCUACCACCCUGUGUCUUUUUUUAAUAUAAAGAUUCUUAUUUUUUUAAUUAUAGCUGGUUUACAGUGUUCUGUUAAUUUUCUACUGUACAGCAUGGUGACCCAGUUACACAUACAUGUAUAGAUUCUUUUUUCUAACAUUAUCAUGCUCCAUCAUAAGUGACUUGGUAUAGUUCCCUGUGUAGCAGGAUCUCAUUGCUUAUCCAUUCCAAAGACAAUAGUCUGCAUCUAUUUACCCCAAGUUCCCAAUCCAUCCCUCUCCCUCCCCCUUGGCAACUAUGGUACUUUGAGUCUUUUGAUUGGCACAUUCAGUGCAUUGACAUUUAUGUCAAUUAUUGAUAAAUAUGUUUUAUUGCCAUUUGAACCCUUGUUUUCCAGUUGAUUGUUUUUCCUUGGUUCCUUUCUUUUUUUGGUUGGAUUUCCAUUUUAUGUUUGUGUACAUUUCUUUUUAGUUUUUAUGAAUGUAAUAUUUGGUUUUGAUUUGUGGUUUCCCUCUUUUUUAAGUAUGUUACCCCUUCCUAUAUCUGCUUGCUUUUAGCAUGAUAGUCAUAUAGACUCAAACACAUU